AUUGAACGCUGGCGGCAGGCUUAACACAUGCAAGUCGAACGAGAACGGAUUAUAGCUUGCUAUAAUUGUCAGCUAAGUGGCGCACGGGUGAGUAAUGUAUAGGUAAUAUGCCUCUUACUAAGGGAUAACAAAUGGAAACGUUUGCUAAUACCUUAUACUCCUUAUUAACAGAAGUUAAUAAGGGAAAGAUUUAUUGGUAAGAGAUUAGCCUGUAUUGUAUCAGUUAGUUGGUGGGGUAAUGGCUUACCAAGACUAUGACACAUAACUGGUUUGAGAGGAUGAUCAGUCACACUGGAACUGAGACACGGUCCAGACUCCUACGGGAGGCAGCAGUGGGGAAUAUUGCACAAUGGACGAAAGUCUGAUGCAGCAACGCUGCGUGGAGGAUGACACAUUUCGGUGCGUAAACUCCUUUUAUAUGAGAAGAUAAUGACGGUAUUAUAUGAAUAAGCACCGGCUAACUCCGUGCCAGCAGCCGCGGUAACAC
rnacentral:rRNA from 1 species